rnacentral:tRNA from 1 species
GCGGUAGUAGCUCAUCCGGUAGAGCGGCUGGCUUCCAACCAGCAGGCGCGGGGUUCGAGUCCCCGCUACCGCUCCA